ensembl:lncRNA
GGGUGAAUGUGUUUAUGAAUGGGUGAAUGUAUGAAUGGGUGAAUGUGUUUAUGAAUGGGUGCAUGAAUGGGUGAAUGUUUUUAUGAAUGGGUGCAUGAAUGGGUGAAUGUUUUUAUGAAUGGGUGAAUGUGUUUAUGAAUGGGUGCAUGAAUGGGUGAAUGUGUUUAUGAAUGGGUGCAUGAAUGGGUGAAUGUGAAAUGCUUUGAGUGGCCGCUGGUUAGAUGAAGAUAAGAGAGGUACAUGAGGUGCCCCCCCCUCCCCCCAGACCUCGGUGGGCGGCGGCCUGGAGCCCGGGGGGACCCUCUCCGUCCCCUUCAGGGUGGAGUCCAGCGGGGCAGGGGGUCACUUCACCAUCCAGGCCUCCAACGACCGGGGCUUCGCCUCCGCCUUCCCCAGCCUGCUGCCCCGGGACGGGACGGGCUCUGCCCGCGGCACCGGGACCCUCAGGGCGCCCCCCGGGACCCCCAGCGGGACGACGGUCACCCUGACCCUCCGGGCCCGCGCCCCGGGGGGCAACGACACCAACCACCUGGUUCUGAGGUUUCCUGUCGUUACCAAGGUGACAGACCACAGCCGUCCGGUGUGUCAGGUGACCAGCCUCAGGGCGGACUGCCCCUCCCAGUGCUCCCAGUGCUACCAGUGCUCCCAGUGCUCCCAGUGCUCCCAGUCCACCUGGGAGAUGACGGCCAACCUGACGGACGGCGACAGCCUGGGCCUGCCGCUGCUGUCCCUCCAGCGGGGAAACGGCACGCUGACCUCCAGCCGGGGCCCCGGGGGGCCCGGGGGGGCCUUCACCCUGGUCUCCUACACCGCCUCCUGCUGCUCCCCCCACCUGGAGCUGGUGGCCACCGACGAGGUGGGCAACGUGGGGACCUGCUUCAGCAGCCGCAGGACCGACGGGACCCCCACCGCCGGGACCCCCACCCAGGGGACCCCCACCGCCGGGGGCCCCACCCCGGAGACCCCCACCCCGGGAACCCCCGCCCUGCUAACCCCCACCGCCUGGACCUCCAGCGAUACGACCACCGCUGGCGCGACGGCGACCUCUGGAGCAGCGGCGGCGGCCAGAAGGCCCCGCCCUUAUCACCUCUGGCAGGCGGCCAUGAUGGUUUGGAUGGCGCUGGCUCAGCGUUGACCACUUGUUCCACCGGUUCUGCCUGCUGGGAUAGAACCAUGUGUGUGUGAAGUGUAAGGGUGGGAUCGAUUUAAUGGUUUUGUAUGUCGACUGACCAUGGGAUUGUCCGUUUGUGGACAGUCUUUGAUAAAACAGUCUUUGAUUAAACAGAUGAUUUUGG